GCUUGGAUAGCUCAUUUGGUUAGAGUGUGGUGCUGAUGAUGCCAAGGUUGCAGGUUUGAUCCUCGUAAAGGACA